rnacentral:lncRNA from 1 species
UGUACUGGUUGCCAAGGGUCUGGAAUGAAGGUGUCAAUCAGGCAUUUGGGACCCUCUAUGAUUCAGCAGAUGCAGCAUCCUUGCAAUGAGUGCAAAGGAACAGGAGAGAGUAUCAGUGACAGGGAUCGCUGUACUCAAUGUAAGGGUGAGAAGGUUGUUCAACAAAAGAAGGUUUUGGAUGUUGUUGUAGACAAGGGUAUGCAGAAUGGGCAGAAGAUCACAUUUGCUGGAGAAGCUGAUGAAGCGGUACUGUGCUUUAUUGGAUAAUUACUUGAAUUUGAAUUUUGCUUAUGUAUUGUUGUAUCAUUUACUGAUGAAAAUUGUGUAUUGUUUUGCAGCCUGAUACUGUCACAGGGGAUAUAGUUUUUGUCUUACAGCAGAAAGAACAUCCCAAGUUCAAGAGAAAGGGUGAUGAUCUUUUUGUGGAGCACACAUUGUCACUGACUGAAGCCCUUUGCGGCUACCAGUUUGUUUUGACUCAUCUGGACGGCAGGCACUUGCUUAUCAAGUCUAAUCCUGGAGAGGUUAUCAAGCCUGGUAAGUUUACAACAUUGUUCUUGUCUUCAUAUUUCAAGCAAAUAUGAUCGUGGUCUCCGAGCACCAAUGCUGAUGUUUUGGCAUCAAUGUGCAGAUCAAUUCAAGUCUAUCAGUGAUGAGGGUAUGCCGAUGUAUCAAAGAGGCUUCAUGAAGGGUAACCUCUACGUUCACUUCAGUGUUGAGUUCCCAGAUUCCCUGACCCUCGACCAGGUGAAGGCACUAGAGGCUGUGCUCCCACCAAAGCCCGCGCAGCAGAUGACCCCAAUGGAGUUGGAUGAGUGUGAAGAGACCACCUUACAUGAUGUCAACAUUGAAGAGGAGAUGAGAAGGAAGCAAGCACAGGCGCAGCAGGAGGCCUACGACGAG